AACUCUGUAUGUCCCUGAUGAUUUCCUGAACCAGCAGACUCCAGGUCUGAGGCAGUGGUGGGAACUCAAAUCUCGUCAUUAUGAUACAGUAUUGUUCUUCAAGAUGGGUAAAUUUUAUGAGCUGUUUCAUAUGGAUGCUAUGAUUGGAGUCCAAGAACUUGGCUUACUUAUGAUGAAGGGUGAAAAGGCACAUUCAGGUUUUCCAGAAAUUGCUUAUGGAAGAUAUUCAGCCACUUUGAUUGAGAAAGGUUACAAAGUUGCACGUAUUGAACAAACUGAAACCCCAGACAUGAUGGAGAAAAGAUGCA